GACGAACGCUGGCGGCGUGCUUAACACAUGCAAGUCGAACGGAAAGGCCCUGCUUUUGUGGGGUGCUCGAGUGGCGAACGGGUGAGUAACACGUGAGUAACCUGCCCUUGACUUUGGGAUAACUUCAGGAAACUGGGGCUAAUACCGGAUAGGAGCUCCUGCUGCAUGGUGGGGGUUGGAAAGUUUCGGCGGUUGGGGAUGGACUCGCGGCUUAUCAGCUUGUUGGUGGGGUAGUGGCUUACCAAGGCUUUGACGGGUAGCCGGCCUGAGAGGGUGACCGGCCACAUUGGGACUGAGAUACGGCCCAGACUCCUACGGGAGGCAGCAGUGGGGAAUAUUGCACAAUGGGCGGAAGCCUGAUGCAGCAACGCCGCGUGCGGGAUGACGGCCUUCGGGUUGUAAACCGCUUUCGCCUGUGACGAAGCGUGAGUGACGGUAAUGGGUAAAGAAGCACCGGCUAACUACGUGCCAGCAGCCGCGGUGAUACGUAGGGUGCGAGCGUUGUCCGGAUUUAUUGGGCGUAAAGGGCUCGUAGGUGGUUGAUCGCGUCGGAAGUGUAAUCUUGGGGCUUAACCCUGAGCGUGCUUUCGAUACGGGUUGACUUGAGGAAGGUAGGGGAGAAUGGAAUUCCUGGUGGAGCGGUGGAAUGCGCAGAUAUCAGGAGGAACACCAGUGGCGAAGGCGGUUCUCUGGGCCUUUCCUGACGCUGAGGAGCGAAAGCGUGGGGAGCGAACAGGCUUAGAUACCCUGGUAGUCCACGCUGUAAACGGUGGGUACUAGGUGUGGGGUCCAUUCCACGGGUUCCGUGCCGUAGCUAACGCUUUAAGUACCCCGCCUGGGGAGUACGGCCGCAAGGCUAAAACUCAAAGGAAUUGACGGGGCCCCGCACAAGCGGCGGAGCAUGCGGAUUAAUUCGAUGCAACGCGUAGAACCUUACCUGGGUUUGACAUGGAUCGGGAGUGCUCAGAGAUGGGUGUGCCUCUUUUGGGGUCGGUUCACAGGUGGUGCAUGGCUGUCGUCAGCUCGUGUCGUGAGAUGUUGGGUUAAGUCCCGCAACGAGCGCAACCCUUGUUCACUGUUGCCAGCACGUUAUGGUGGGGACUCAGUGGAGACCGCCGGGGUCAGCUCGGAGGAAGGUGGGGAUGACGUCAAGUCAUCAUGCCCCUUAUGUCCAGGGCUUCACGCAUGCUACAAUGGCUGGUACAGAGAGUGGCGAGCCUGUGAGGGUGAGCGAAUCUCGGAAAGCCGGUCUCAGUUCGGAUUGGGGUCCGCAACUCGACCUCAUGAAGUCGGAGUCGCUAGUAAUCGCAGAUCAGCAACGCUGCGGUGAAUACGUUCCCGGGGCU
rnacentral:rRNA from 1 species